rnacentral:rRNA from 1 species
AGACGGAGGGGGCUAGCGUUGUUCGGAAUUACUGGGCGUAAAGCGCGCGUAGGCGGUCCGUUUAGUUAGGCGUGAAAGCCCUGGGCUCAACCCGGGAACUGCGUUUAAAACUGGCGGACUAGAGUCCGGGAGAGGGUGGCGGAAUUCCCAGUGUAGAGGUGAAAUUCGUAGAUAUUGGGAAGAACACCAGUGGCGAAGGCGGCCACCUGGCCCGGUACUGACGCUGAGGCGCGAAAGCGUGGGGAGCAAACAGGAUUAGAAACCCUAGUAGUCC